rnacentral:lncRNA from 1 species
AGAGUAUCUUACUGGAUUUGAAAUGCAACUUUGCAGGUUGUAACUACCGAUGCCUCGGUAACAAGUGAUGUUUGGAGAAAGAUGGUACAAGUUGCUGUAAAUCGAAGUUUUAAUCAAAUUACUGUAAGUAAGAAAUUUACAUAGAAUUAAUACUUCAGACGUAUACGAUUCUGACCAUGCAUGAGGACUGGAGUUCAAUGGUAGAAAUUUGCACUGAGUUGCAUGUGGACAUUUCUGGUGUAUUUGAUUAUCA